GACAGAGGUCCCGAGCGUUGUUCGGAUUCACUGGGCGUAAAGGGUGCGCAGGUGGGUUUGCAAGUUUGAUGUGAAAGCCCCGGGCUUAACCCGGGAAUGGCAUUGAAUACUGCAGAUCUGGAGGAUUGGAGGGGGGACUGGAAUUCUUGGUGUAGCAGUGAAAUGCGUAGAUAUCAAGAGGAACACCAGUGGCGAAGGCGAGUCCCUGGACAAUACCUGACACUGAGGCACGAAAGCCAAGGGAGCAAACAGG
rnacentral:rRNA from 1 species